rnacentral:rRNA from 1 species
CAAUAGCGUAUAUUAAAGUUGUUGCAGUUAAAAAGCUCGUAGUUGAAUUUCGGGUGCUCGUGCUCGGUGCUUGAUUGUGCCGUCGCGUGUGCCCUCCUCGCCUUUGGCGUCAUUUACUGUGAAAAAAUUAGAGUGUUCAAAGCAGGCAUUCGCUUGAAUACAUUAGCAUGGAAUAAUAAGAUAGGAUCUUGUCUAUUUUGUUGGUUGCGGACAAAGAUAAUGAUUAAUAGGGAUAGUUGGGGGUGUCCGUAUUGAGCUGUCAGAGGUGAAAUUCUUAGAUUUGCUCAAGACGAACUACUGCGAAAGCAUUCACCAAGGAUGUUUUCAUUAA